rnacentral:rRNA from 1 species
AUACAUGCAAGUCGAGCGGAGAUUUGGGAGCUUGCUCCCAAAUCUUAGCGGCGGACGGGUGAGUAACACGUGGGCAACCUGCCCUGCAGACUGGGAUAACUCCGGGAAACCGGAGCUAAUACCGGGUAAUACAUCGCACCGCAUGGUGCAAUGUUGAAAGUUGGCUUUCGAGCUAACACUGCAGGAUGGGCCCGCGGCGCAUUAGCUAGUUGGUAAGGUAAUGGCUUACCAAGGCGACCAUGCGUAGCCGACCUGAGAGGGUGAUCGGCCACACUGGGACUGAAACACGGCCCAGACUCCUACGGGAGGCAGCAGUAGGGAAUCUUCCGCAAUGGACGAAAGUCUGACGGAACAACGCCGCGUGAGUGACGAAGGCCUUCGGGUCGUAAAGCUCUGUUGUUAGGGAAGAACAAGUACCGUUCGAAUAGGGCGGUACCUUGACGGUACCUAACCAGAAAGCCACGGCUAACUACGUGCCAGCAGCCGCGGUAAUACGUAGGUGGCAAGCGUUGUCCGGAAUUAUUGGGCGUAAAGCGCGCGCAGGCGGUCUUUUAAGUCUGAUGUGAAAGCCCACGGCUCAACCGUGGAGGGUCAUUGGAAACUGGAGGACUUGAGUGCAGAAGAGGAGAGUGGAAUUCCACGUGUAGCGGUGAAAUGCGUAGAUAUGUGGAGGAACACCAGUGGCGAAGGCGGCUCUCUGGUCUGUAACUGACGCUGAGGCGCGAAAGCGUGGGGAGCAAACAGGAUUAGAUACCCUGGUAGUCCACGCCGUAAACGAUGAGUGCUAGUGUUGG